UUUUUUUUUUGUUGGGAGGGGUGAGGGACCGGCAGGAGGCGCUUAUGGGUAAACAAUCAAGAACCAUUAUGCUGGGCAUGUGGGAGCAGUAAGGCAGGGUUUCAAGGAUGAUUGCAAAAGAGCCAGACAACCAAUCUGACUGAAGGUUUAUAACCUAGAGAAUUAGGAGUUUGCUAUUACAGAAAGGUAGAGACACAGGCUACAAGCCAAGAUUCUAGAUAGUCACACUCAGUUGCCAAAUAAUCCAGGAUCAUUUUUCAGAGUCUUGCAAAAUGGUUAGAUAAUUUAUCGGCUGUGGGACUAUGCACCUUGGAUCCAAAAGUAGAAGCUACUUAAGUUAAUGGACUCCUUAUAAAAUUCUUGGCCAAAGGAAACCUAUGAGUAGAUUCAAUAGCUAUUGUUCAGAAACUGAUUCUACUCAAUUCAUUUCAGUAUACAGAUACAUACUUCGCUCUUGCCAGCCUGUGAAUAUAACUCCAUUAUGACAAAGUUGAAUGACAGGUAGUUUCUGCCCCAGGGGGCUCACAAUCUGGUGGUAUCCUAAACUUUCUAACACUGCCUGGAGAAAGGAUGGAGGAAUCUUGACUACAACAGGUUCAGUCCCGAGACAAGCAUAGUUAGGAGGCUAUCUUCACCACCAAGGAUGUUUCUUCUUGUUCUUCUCCUCCUCCUUCUUUUAGAGAGAGAGAGAGAGAGAGAGAGAGAGAGAGAGAGAGAGAGAGAGAGUGAGAGUGGGGGGCAGGGAUAGGGAAAGGGAGAGAAAGCAUCUCAAGUGGACUCUAUGCUCAGCACAGAGCCCCAUAUGGGGCUCGAUCUCAUGACCCCCGAGAUCAUGACCUUUGCCAAAAUCAAGAGUUGUGCGCUUAACUGACUGAGCCACCCAGGCACCCCCAAAGAUGUUUCAUUGAGCAAUGCUCAAUGAUCACACUAUUCCAUAUGCUAAGCAGUUAAGACAACCAACCCCAGAAGCCUAAAAGCAUGUGUGUAUGAAACCUGAGCACAGAGCUGAAAAGGGGGCGUACAUGAGUUUGUUCUUUUAUAAAAUAGCUUUUUGAGGCAUAAUUGACAUAAAAUUAACUGCACAUAUUUGAUAUGUACAAUUUGAUAAGUUGGAUAUUCCUGAAAUCAUCACCACAUUUAAGAUAAUAAACAUAUCCAUCAUCCCCAAAAGUUCCCUCUGACACCUUCAUGAUCCCUUCAUCUACCCCUCUCUCUAUUCUGAAGCAACCAUUUAUUUGCUUUCAAUCACUAUUAAUGAGUUUGUAUGUCUUAGAAUUUCAUUUAAAUGGACUGAUACAGUAUGUAUUCUUUUUUUGCCUAGGUUAUCAAUCAGCAUAAUUAUUUUGAGAUUCACUAACAUUGAUGGGUGGAUGAAUAGAUCAUUUCUUUUUAUUGCUGAAUAACAGAUCCUCAUAUAUGUAGAUCACUAUUUAUUCACCUAUUGAUGUGUACUUUGUUUUUUGCUUUUGUGUUUUAAAGGUUUUAUUUAUUUAUUUGAGAGAGAGAGAGCAUGAGCAAGAGAGCACAAGCAGGGGGAGCAGCAGAGGGAGAGGGACAAGCAGACUCCCUACUAAGCAGGGAGCCUGACUCAGAGCUCAAUUCCAGGACCCCAAGAUCAUGAUCUAAGCUGAAGGCAGCAGCUUAACCAACUGAGCCACCCAGGCACCCCAAUGGGUACUUUGGAUACUAUAAAUAAAACCACUACGAACCUUCAUGUUCACAUCUUUGUAUGGACAUAUGCUUUCUUUCUUUGACUUUGGGUAAAUAAGAGGAAAAAUGACCAGAUCUGUGGUAUAUGAAGAUUCAACUUUUUUAAAGACUGACAAACUAUUUUCUAAAGUGGCUAUACCAUUUUACACUCCCAACUGCUCAAGAGAGUUCCAGUUUUUCUACACCCUUGCCAUCUUAACAGAUGUGUAGUGGCAUCUCAUUGUGGUUUUAAUAUGCAUUUCCCUAAGGAUCAAGGAUGUUGAGUGUCUUUUCAUGUAUUUAGUAGCUAUCACCAAUCUUCUCUGGUGAAAUAUCUAUUCAAAUCACCAUUUUUUAUUAGGUUGUUGUUUUCUUAUUGAGUUUUGAGAGUUCCAAAUAUAUAUUCUGGACACACACCCUUUAUCAGGAACAUGAUUUAAAAACAUUUUCUCCUAGGUUGUGGAUUAUCUCUUUAUUUUCUUAAUGGUGUCUUUUAUUUUUUUUAUAUUUUAUUUAUUUAUUCAUGAGAGACACAAAGAGAGAGGCAGAGACACAGGCAGAAGGAGAGGCUGGCUCUGUCUGAAGUGG
rnacentral:lncRNA from 1 species